rnacentral:lncRNA from 1 species
AAAUCCACAACUCCUCUCAUGGCCAAUCCAUCUAUUACUGGUUGUACUAUUAUUACUACCGAAAAACUAAAAGGCAGUAACUACUCUACUUGGGCUGCUGACGUAGAGCUAUGGUUUAUGGGACAAGGAUAUAAAGAUCAUCUUACUACUAAACCUGAUGAUACUAUGACUGAUCCAUCCAAGUGGGAGCGAAUCGAUGCUCAAUUGUGUAGCAUGCUUUGGCAGACCAUUGAUUCUUCACUAAAGCAAAUUUUCCGUCCACAUAAGACUUGCUUUAGUGUUUGGGAGCAGGCCAAAGCAUUAUACACUAAUGAUAUAUCUCGUGUUUAUGCCGUUUGUUCUGAUUUGAUGAGUCUCAUUGCACCUCGAAAACUUGAUAUGCCUAUGAGUUCUUACUUAGGCAGAAUUCAAGGGGUCCUUUCCGAUUUCAAUGAGUUGCUACCCCCUGCUGCAACUCAGCAGGAACAACUCUCUCAGCGAGGUACAUUUUUUAUGCUUUUGGCUCUCUUUGGAUUACCUGCAGAAUAUUCUACCAUUCGUGACCAGAUUCUUGCUAGCCCCACAAUUCCUACUUUGUCUCAAGCUUUUUCACGGCUGUUACGGCUCCCGGAUGAAUCAAAAUCAUCUUCGGAGACUAUCGUUGUUGAUUCAUCAGCUUUGGCAUCUCAAUCCAGCCAAAGAGGAGGUCGUGGACGUGGCCGUGGUCGAGGUGGUUAUAAUGGUAACAAAAAUCGACCCUACUGUGACUAUUGUAAAAAGGUUGGCCACACAGAAGAUCGGUGUUGGCUCUUGCAUGGACGUCCUCCCCAACAAGUGGCGAAUAUUGUUCAAUCCGAACCUUGCGCAAGUUCAGAACCAACUCUCAAGCCUGAGUAUGAAGAUUUUGUGAAAUGGUUUACAGCCAAACAGUCUUCCACACCUACUGCCUCAGUUGUACACACUAGUAAUGUUAGCGCAUGUGUCUCUCAAUCUCCAUCUCUUGGCCCAUGGGUUUUAGAUUCUGCUGCCACAGAUCAUAUUUCUGGUAAUCCACAACUUUUCUCUUCACUCCAUAGUUCUACUUCUCUACCCAAUAUUACUCUUGCUGAUGGCUCACAAACCCAAGCUAAAGGGAUUGGCAAGGCUAACCCUCUACCUUCUGUGCCUCUCGAUUCUGUUCUUUUUGUACCCAAUUGUCCUUUUAGUUUAGUAUUUGUUCGUCGUUUGUGUCGUUCUCUUAACUGCUUAGUUACAUUUGAUGAGGAAUCUGUAAUUUUACAGGAUCGAGGUACAGGGCGGACGAUUGGCACAGGGCGUGAGUCUCAGGGACUUUACCAUCUGUCUUUACCAACACUAGUAUCUUGUUCUGCAAUAGAUGAUCCUCUGCUAAUCCAUAGUCGUUUGGGUCAUCCAAGUUUAAAUAAGUUUCGAAAGAUGGUGCCAUCUAUUACCAUGUCUUCCUUAGAGUGUGCAUCAUGUCAGCUUGGAAAACACACUCGUAGUCAUUUUCCGAAAAGAGCUAAUAGUAGAGCUGAAUCUCUAUUUUCUUUGGUCCAUACUGAUAUUUGGGGACCGAGUCGUGUUAUUUCUACUUUAGGUUUUCAGUAUUUUGUUACUUUCAUUGAUGAUUAUUCUCGUUGUACUUGGGUGUUUCUUAUGAAGAAUAGAUCUGAAGUGUUUUCUAUUUUUCAAAGUUUUGUCUCUGAAAUUCAAACACAAUUUGGUGUUUCCAUAAAAAUCUUACGUAGUGAUAAUGCACAUGAGUAUUUCUCCACCUCUUUCAAGUCCUUUAUGGAGUCUAAAGGGAUCAUUCAUCAAUCAUCAUGUUCUCACACCUCACAACAAAACGGGAUUGCUGAAAGGAAAAAUAGACAUUUGGUUGAAACAGCACGUACUUUACUUCUUCAUGCAAAUGUUCCGUUACGUUUUUGGGGGGAUGCCAUUCUCACUGCAUGUUAUUUGAUUAAUCGCAUGCCAUCAUCUGUCCUUAAGGAUCAAGUUCCUUACUCUUUUGUAUAUCCUAAUGCUCCACUAUUUUCUAUUUCCCCUCGUACAUUUGGCUGUACAUGUUUUGUACAUGAUUUCACUCCUGGAAAAGAUAAGCUGUCUUCACGUGCUGUCAAAUGUGUAUUUUUGGGAUACUCUCGAACACAAAAAGGGUACAAAUGUUUUUCUCCUGAUCUUAGACGAUACAUCAUCUCUGCAGAUGUUACGUUCUUUGAGUCUACUCCUUUCUUUCAGCCUAACAAGUCUGAGCAUUCUACAAUCACGGAAGAUAUUCCUGUUUCUACUUAUUUUGUUCCUCUUACUCAUGACACUGACAUUAGUCAGCCUCCUAAAGAGUCCUUACCUUCACCCGCAUCACCACCACCAUUGCUCACUUACCAGAGACGCAAUGUAGGGAAUUGUCCUACUACAGUUCCAGAUACUGGUGUUGGAGAAUCUGCUGAUGUCCCUGAUGUCUCACGAACUAUUCCAAGUUCGUCACCUACCACGAUCUCCUCUCCAGCCAGCCCACCCAUUGCUGUCCGCAAAGGUAUUCGUUCUACUCACAAUCAAUGUCCCAACUAUACUUGUCUCAAUUAUCAGCGCGUGUCUUCAUCCUAUUAUGCCUUUUUGUCCUCUUUGUCGUCCAUGUCUGUUCCUAAAACUAUAGGUGAGGCUAUGUCCCACUCUGGGUGGCGUCAGGCAAUGAUAGAUGAAAUGGCUGCUCUUCACUCCAAUUCCACUUGGGAGCUAGUCCCACUCCCACCUGGUAAAUCAACUGUUGGUUGUCGUUGGAUUUAUACUGUUAAAGUUGGUCCGGAUGGUCAAAUUGAUCG